rnacentral:rRNA from 1 species
AGAGUUUGAUCCUGGCUCAGGAUGAACGCUAGCGGCAGGCUUAAUACAUGCAAGUCGUGGGGCAGCAGGGGUAGCAAUACCCGCUGGCGACCGGCAAACGGGUGCGGAACACGUACGCAACCUCCCUUUAACUGGAGAAUAGCCCCUCGUAAGAGGGAUUAAUACUCCGUAACAUAUACAUGUGGCAUCACAAGUAUAUUAUAGCUCCGGCGGUUAAAGAUGGGCGUGCGCCUGAUUAGAUAGUUGGCGGGGUAACGGCCCACCAAGUCUGCGAUCAGUAACUGGUGUGAGAGCACGACCAGUCACACGGGCACUGAGACACGGGCCCGACUCCUACGGGAGGCAGCAGUAAGGAAUAUUGGUCAAUGGACGCAAGUCUGAACCAGCCAUGCCGCGUGGAGGAUUAAGGCCCUCUGGGUUGUAAACUCCUUUUAUCUGGGAAGAAAUGCAUUUUUUCUAAAGCGCUUGACGGUACCAGAGGAAUAAGCACC